CUACGGGGUGCUGCAGUGGGGAAUAUUGGGCAAUGGGCGCAAGCCUGACCCAGCAACGCCGCGUGAGGGAAGAAGGUUUUCGGAUUGUAAACCUCUGUCCUUGGGGACGAAGAAGUGACGGUACCCAAGGAGGAAGCUCCGGCUAACUACGCGCCAGCAGCCGCGGUAAUACGUAGGGAGCAAGCGGUGUCCGGAAUUACUGGGCGUAAAGGGUGCGUAGGCGGCAUAUUAAGUCAGGUGUGAAAUACUCGGGCUCAACCCGGGGGCUGCAUUUGAAACUGAUAUGCUUGAGUGUGAGAGAGGAAAGUGGAAUUCCUAGUGUAGCGGUGGAAUGCGUAGAUAUUAGGAGGAACACCAGUGGCGAAGGCGACUUUCUGGCUCAUAACUGACGCUGAGGCACGAAAGCGUGGGGAGCAAACAGGAUUAGAUACCCCCGUAGUC
rnacentral:rRNA from 1 species